UACGUAGGGUGCGAGCGUUAAUCGGAAUUACUGGGCGUAAAGCGUGCGCAGGCGGUCUGUUAAGACCGAUGUGAAAUCCCCGGGCUUAACCUGGGAACUGCAUUGGUGACUGGCAGGCUUUGAGUGUGGCAGAGGGAGGUAGAAUUCCACGUGUAGCAGUGAAAUGCGUAGAGAUGUGGAGGAACACACGAUGGCGAAGGCAGCC
rnacentral:rRNA from 1 species